AUUGAACGCUGGCGGCAGGCCUAACACAUGCAAGUCGAGCGAGCGGCGGACGGGUGAGUAAUGUAUGGGGACUGCCCGAUAGAGGGGGAUAACUACUGGAAACGGUGACUAAUACCGCAUACUAUCGGAUAACCCAUAUGGGAUUAGCUAGUUGGUGGGGUAAAGGCUCACCUAGGCGACUAUCUCUAGCUGGUCUGAGAGGAUGAUAAGCCACACUGGGACUGAGACAGGGCCCGGACUCCAACGGAGGAAGCAGGGGGGAACAUUGCACAAUGGGCGCAAGCGUGAUGCAGCCAUGCCGCGUGUAUGAAGAAGGCCUUAGGGUUGUAAAGUACUUUCAGCGGGGAGGCGUUACCCGCAGAAGAAGCAACGGCUAACUCCGUGCCAGCCGCCGCGGUAAUUC
rnacentral:rRNA from 1 species